rnacentral:rRNA from 1 species
UACGAAGGUCCCGAGCGUUAUCCGGAUUUAUUGGGUUUAAAGGGUGCGUAGGCGGGUUAUUAAGUCAGUGGUGAAAGCCUUCAGCUUAACUGAAGAACUGCCAUUGAUACUGAUGAUCUUGAGUAUGAUUGAGGUGGGCGGAAUGUGUCAUGUAGCGGUGAAAUGCGUAGAUAUCGAGAGGAACACCGGUGGCGAAGGCGAGUCCCUGGACAACACCUGACACUGAGGCACGAAAGCUAGGGGAGCAAACAGG